rnacentral:rRNA from 1 species
CCUACGGGCGGCUGCAGUGGGGAAUAUUGCACAAUGGGCGCAAGCCUGAUGCAGCCAUGCCGCGUGUGUGAAGAAGGCCUUCGGGUUGUAAAGCACUUUCAGCGGGGAGGAAGGCGGUGAGGUUAAUAACCUCAUCGAUUGACGUUACCCGCAGAAGAAGCACCGGCUAACUCCGUGCCAGCAGCCGCGGUAAUACGGAGGGUGCAAGCGUUAAUCGGAAUUACUGGGCGUAAAGCGCACGCAGGCGGUCUGUCAAGUCGGAUGUGAAAUCCCCGGGCUCAACCUGGGAACUGCAUUCGAAACUGGCAGGCUAGAGUCUUGUAGAGGGGGGUAGAAUUCCAGGUGUAGCGGUGAAAUGCGUAGAGAUCUGGAGGAAUACCGGUGGCGAAGGCGGCCCCCUGGACAAAGACUGACGCUCAGGUGCGAAAGCGUGCGGAGCAAACAGGAUUAGAUACCCGUGUAGUC